rnacentral:rRNA from 1 species
UGGGGAAUAUUGGGCAAUGGGCGCAAGCCUGACCCAGCCACGCCGCGUGAGUGAUGAAGGCCUUCGGGUCGUAAAGCUCUGUGGGGAAGGACGAAAAAACGCGGGCCAACAUCAACCGGACUGACGGUACCUCCUUAGCAAGCACCGGCUAACUCCGUGCCAGCAGCCGCGGUAAUACGGAGGGUGCAAACGUUGCUCGGAAUCAUUGGGCGUAAAGCGCACGUAGGCGGUCCAGCAAGUCGGGUGUGAAAGCCCUCGGCUUAACCGAGGAAGUGCAUUCGAAACUACUGGACUUGAGUACUGAAGAGGAUCGCGGAAUUCCCGGUGUAGAGGUGAAAUUCGUAGAUAUCGGGAGGAACACCAGUGGCGAAGGCGGCGAUCUGGGCAGAUACUGACGCUGAGGUGCGAAAGCGUGGGGAGCAAACAGGAUUAGAUACCCCGGUAGUCC